rnacentral:lncRNA from 1 species
AUCGCUAUACCAAUAUAAUAUAACAACUAUCUCCUACAUGCUGAUUUCAUUUUUCAUUUUUUUCAGAGGUGAUGAACAGAUAUUCAGAAAAGGAGGGAGAAAAAAUCUUGCCCAUGCGAUGGAUGGAGGGGGUGAAAAAAAGAAGAAUGUUCAAAGAACUGCGAGGACUUAGUUCCCAUGACCACCACCCUGGGCAGAAGAACUUACAGAAAAGGAUGCGUCUGCAUUUUCUACAAUAAAAAUGUACUGUAAAAUCAAAAUUGUAAACUACAUUAUCUCCCUCUCCCUCUUCACCUGCUCUCUACACAGUGGUUUCUCCACCACCUUGAUAACAAAGGUGUUCUCCACUUGCACGCUCCCUUUCUGGUGAAAUCACUCUUCAUCUCGAUAUAGUAACUCAGCUUCUACAAGGGACUGGAGUUUGUCCCUACCAUAUUUCCCUGUCUACAUCUCCAGCAUGGACGGGACAUAUCAUUUCUGGGAACAGAGACUGGAUACUUAAAUCUCAGGCUAGGACCCAUUUCACUGAUGGAUCCUCCAGUCCUCUUAGUUUCAUUAGCGGAAAAGAGAUUAGAGAAACCAGAGAGAAGAGCCCCAGCACCGAAGCUUCUGGUUGUGUUACAGGGCAUUGGUCGGAACAGUUAAAUAUUCCUCGUCAUCUACCCGAACUGAAAGUGCGGAAAGAUGAAGAUUUGAAGACAGCUAAGGACCUGCAAGGAAAGAAGAACAAGGGGAUUCUCUACAGUAAACUAUUUCAGACAACGAUUGUCAACAUUACCUUUAAGAAAAGUA